rnacentral:rRNA from 1 species
GACGAACGCUGGCGGCGUGCUUAACACAUGCAAGUCGAACGGAGAGGCCCUGCUUUUGUGGGGCGCUCGAGUGGCGAACGGGUGAGUAACACGUGAGUAACCUGCCCUUGACUUUGGGAUAACUUCAGGAAACUGGGGCUAAUACCGGAUAGGAGCUCCUGCUGCAUGGUGGGGGUUGGAAAGUUUCGGCGGUUGGGGAUGGACUCGCGGCUUAUCAGCUUGUUGGUGGGGUAGUGGCUUACCAAGGCUUUGACGGGUAGCCGGCCUGAGAGGGUGACCGGCCACAUUGGGACUGAGAUACGGCCCAGACUCCUACGGGAGGCAGCAGUGGGGAAUAUUGCACAAUGGGCGGAAGCCUGAUGCAGCAACGCCGCGUGCGGGAUGACGGCCUUCGGGUUGUAAACCGCUUUCGCCUGUGACGAAGCGUGAGUGACGGUAAUGGGUAAAGAAGCACCGGCUAACUACGUG